AAACGACUCUCGGCAACGGAUAUCUCGGCUCUCGUAACGAUGAAAACRUASCGAAAUGCGAUACUUGGUGUGAAUUGCAGAAUCCCGUGAACCAUCGAGUCUUUGAACGCAAGUUGCGCCCGAAGCCAUUAGGCCGAGGGCACGUCUGCC
rnacentral:rRNA from 1 species